GACGAACGCUGGCGGCGUGCUUAACACAUGCAAGUCGAACGGAAAGGCACUGCGUUUGUGGGGUGCUCGAGUGGCAAACGGGUGAGUAACACGUGAGUAACCUGCCCUUGACUUUGGUAGAACUUCAGGAAACUGGAGCUAAUACCGUAUAGGAGCUCCUGCUGCAUGGUGUGGGGUGGAAAGUUUCGGCGGUUGGGGCUGUACUCGCGGCUGAUCCGCUUGUUGGUUGGGUAGUGGCUUACCAAGGCUUUGACGGGUAGCCGGCCUGAGAGGGCGACCGGCGACCUGGGGCCUGAGAUACGGCCCAGACGCCUACGGAAGGCAGCAGUGGGGAAUAUUGCACAAUGGGCGGAAGCCUGAUGCAGCAACGCCGCGUGUGGGAUGCCGGCUUUCGGGUUGUAAACAGCUUUCGCCUGUGACGAAGCGUGAGUGACGGUAACGGGUAAAGAAGCACCGGCUAACUACGUG
rnacentral:rRNA from 1 species